rnacentral:lncRNA from 1 species
CUCCGGCAGCAGCACGCGGGAGGCGGGGCCGGAGGCUCCUCCGCCCCUCAGCCCGCCCACCCGCGGUCCCGCAGCGGCGCGCGGCUGACGCUCCCUCAGCGAUCCGGCCCUCCGCGGCUCCUGCGCGACCCCACGCAAAAGCGCCCCGUGCGAAGAGCGCGGCCAGCCAGUCCGCAAAGGGCCUCGGGCAGUGCGGGCAGCACGAACGGCGCGAUCGGGGAGCAGGCGCGGCUACGCUCCGCCUCAGUGAUGUCGCCGGGAGGAUCUCCGCGCGGCUACCUCCUCUUCCGCCGCCUUCCUCCCACGCCUUCACCUCCCUCCCCCGCCGCGCUCUGCGGCGAAAAGGAGCGGGCUCCCAGGCCACCUCCCCUCUCUCCACCCAGGGGCCGCGCGUCAGUGGACCUGCAGCCCAGGCAACGGGGCUGCGGACGGCGCGCGUGCCCUGCCUCGCCUCACGCCGGUAGCUGAUGCUCCCGCGGCAGCUGCCACCCCAGCGCCCCAGCCACGGCUUCAGAGGCUCUCGCACGCUGGCUUUUUUUUUUUCCCCCCGCUUUGGUGAACUCGCAGUACUUGGGCUGAGCCCGAAAUCUCGCGAGAUGCUGCAGGCGUCAGUGCGGCUUCCCACUAGGCGCGUGGUACCCGAGGCCGGGCCGGAGCCGCAGGCCAGCCGCGAUUCCUUCGGGCGAUGCUGGGGGCUUUCCGGUCGGGGCCGCAGCCGCUUCCGGAGCCGCGGGCGAGGUGCGUUCCCCAGCCUGGUUUGCUCUGGGCUCUGACCCGCCGCCGCGAAUCUCCGCUCGUAACUCCGGGCCUGAACCUGGAGGAGGGAGGAUUUCCUCUGUGCAGCUUUCGAGCGGUAGACUCACCCUGCCAGGCAGACCUAGAUUGGCAUAACCAGAGAUCAGUUCCAGUUGUGAUGCAGUGGGUGUCUACACACUUCUGAUGACACCUUUAUUUUAAAAGCUGAUGUUCCAAGUAGAGUCGGGGUUUCACCGUGUUAGCCAGGAUGGUCUCGAUCUCCUGACCUCGUGAUCCGCCCACCUCCGCCUCUCCAAGUGCUGGGAUUACAGGCAUGAGCCACCGCGCCCGGCCCUUGUAUUUUUAAACUUUGACUUUAUGGAGACGAACACCAUCGUUUGCUGAACACUUGAAACAUGAUGAAAGAGCCACAGAGUUGGCAGAACUGUUUGAAAAUGCUGUGCAAGCGGUCUUCUCUGUCUUCUUUAUGGCCAGUAAAAUUCUCCAGAAGAGAUUUAUGGCAGCCUCACUCCCAGUAGUUUCUGCAUUUAGUGAGAUAAGAUGGAAUCUUGCUCUCUUGCUCAGACUGGAGUGCAGUGGCAUGACCUUGGCUCACUGCAACCUCACCUCUCGGGUUCAAGCGAUUCUGCCUCAGCCUCUCGAGUAGCUGGGACUACAGGUGGGAGACCUCCACAGAACCCUUCCAGCAAGCUGUCUUCUAAAGCAAACAAGAAAAGGAAAGUCUGAGCAGUUUUGAUUAGAUUUCCCAGAAGUCAAAGCAAGGAAAAAUGAAAAAGCUUCAUUUCUCACGUUCUUAAAAGAGAGCACAGAUGUUGCAUCAUCUGGUUAGAUACCCUGAGAAUAAAAUCUGGAUCCAGUGAGAGGAAAGAUUCUGGGUGCUCAUGAAAAAAGAAACAAAACAAAACUUGGGAGCCUCUUGAGAGUGUACAGCAUCAGCCCUUGCCAACUCUUGUUUAUAUGCAUUUAACUUUCAGUUAACCAUGGGAAUAAUUCAUGAAAAUCCAAUCUACAAACAAAGGCCAUCCUAACGUUCAUGUUAUUCUUUUCCCUAAGAAUCUUUCACAAGAGCUAUAAUCAAGUAGAAUUAUGCUUUGAUUUGAAUUCUAAUUCAAUUGAAAAUAAAAAAUGAGGGCCGGACGCGGUGGCUCAUGCCUGUAAUCCCAGCGCUUUGGGAGGCUGAGGUGGACGGAUCACGAGGUCAGGAGAUCGAGACCAUCCUGGCUAACACGGUGAAACCCGAUCCCUACUAAAAAUACAAAAAAUUAGCCGGGCGUGGUGGCAGGCGCCUGUAGUCCCAGCUACUCGGGAGGCUGAGGCAGGAGAAUGGCGUGAACCCAGGAGGCAGAGGUUGCAGUGAGCCGAGAUCAUGCUACUGCACUCCAGCCUGGGCGACAGAGCGAGACUCUGUGUAUAAAUAAAUAAAUAAAUAAAUAAAUAACGAAAAGGUUGCCAUUGCCCUUUCUGGGGAAAGUGAUAAUGAGGAAAGACUAGUUUCUUAACCCAAGUCAGCUUUAGAGUCGGCAAGGAUGCAAUUUGAGGUGAUCCAGGAAAACUCUAUUAGCAUGGUAUAAGCCUGGUUUUGCAGUAUAUACAGCAAGCCAUAGGAAGUUUCAUUGGAAGCGUUGUGGAACUCAUUGAGAGUUGAAUGGAAGAAAGAACCUAUAGCAGAAAUUUCCAG